AGAGAGGAGUUUAUCUGAGUAUAUACAUAAUAUUAUUACAACGUUCAAGACUUGUACAUAGUAGAAGUUAAAAAUAUAUUUACAUUUUUUAAACUCAUAAAGUACAUUUAAUAUAGUAAAUUAUUAAUAAAACAUUGUGUUACUGGAAAACAAUCAAAGUAUUAUUUGUGGAAGAUAUAGAAAAAUGGCCAACUCUACAGAUGAUCGUGAAUCCCUCCGUGAGUUUUUAGUAGAAGCAGAGUUGGGACAUCACGUUGAUAAAUUCAGAAAGGUUUUAAACAUAACUAAUUUUUCUCAGCUGCAUUAUGUAACUGUAGAGGAUUUAGUAAAUGUUGGGUUAUCAAAACCAGAGCAGAGAAGAUUUAAGAAACGAUUACAUAAACAUUUCCCACAUAAUUAUUUAAUGAGAUUCAAAAAGCUAUUCCGCACACACAACAGAACCCAUGAAAAUGCAAAUCAUGGAACUGCUUUACCAACAUGUUUUGAUACACCUCCGGCGGCUGAAGGAUAUGUAAAAAUGUCGCCAAAGCACAUUAUCUCUGAAGAAGAUGUAACGAUUAAUAAGGAAUUAGGUAUGGGGCAGUUUGGGGUUGUUCAACAGGGGACAUGGAAUACAGGCAAUCAAAGGUUACAAGUUGCCAUCAAAUGUCUUGGUAAUGAACGAAUGACUUCAAACUCCGCUGAGUUUCUUAAAGAAGCAGCUGUGAUGCAUAGCAUUGAGCAUCCUAAUAUUGUCAGGCUGUAUGGAGUAGUUUUACAUAUGGAGUCCCUUAUGUUGGUAACGGAACUCGCGCCGCUCAGAUCACUUUUGGAAUGUCUGCGUGAGGUUACAUUCCGACGCAACUUCCCAGUACCAAACCUGUGCGAGUUCGCUGAACAAAUCUGUGAUGGAAUGACUUAUCUUGAGACUAAAAGACUGAUUCAUAGAGAUCUCGCUGCGAGAAAUAUAUUGGUAUUUAACAAGAAUAAGGUAAAAAUAUCAGAUUUUGGAUUAUCAAGAGCGCUCGGUGUGGGAAAGGAUUAUUACCAAACGAAUUAUAACGUGGAACUAAAACUUCCGGUUGCGUGGUGUGCCCCGGAAUGUAUUCUGUUCUUACGCUUUACAUCUGCAAGUGAUAUUUGGGCCUUCGGAGUCUGCCUUUGGGAGAUGUUCACAUAUGGCUUUCAACCAUGGGUGGCGUUAUCUGGUCAGCAGAUACUCGAAGCUAUUGACGCACCAAAUUACCAGAGAUUAGAACGACCUGAGUGUUGCCCGGACGCUUACUACAACUUGAUGCUGGAGUGUUGGGCACACAUGCCUAACCGCAGACCGAAAUUCAGGGAUUUGAAUUCAAGGUUAAAACAUAUAAGACCAGAACAGGUACAAACAACGCGUAGCUGUCAGAAGGCGGAACAAGCACGUCGAAGUAAUCUCCUCGACUAUAAAGUCGGAGAUCAGAUCACUGUGCUCGGAAAGGAGAACUACACUAAGAGUUCGAUGUGGUAUGGAGUUUCAUCCAAUGGUGCAUGCGGGAUAUUCGAUCCCAAAAAUACGAAACCUAUAGUGAAGUUAGAGAGAUCAUUCGCAAGUUCGUUCUCACCACAUAUGUCACGAUCGAACCGUUCGAUCCAUUCAUCCAUAUUGCGGUCGGAUGUAAACCGGCACACGUUUACCGGUAAACGGACCAUCCAACGGAGCAUGAUCUCGAGCCCCAUUGGUGAUCUUAAGCAUACGAGCCAUGUGGGACUCGAUGGCGCUUACUUCGGAGACAUCUCGUUCUUGGAUCCUGGCACAUGUCCUCCUCGGCAGAUUGUGACGCCGUAUAAGCCUUCGGAGGACCUGGAACAGGUGCCGCUCAUCAACCCGAAUUCACCUUCACAUCUUAGCGGGACGAAUACGCCGUACCCGCUUCUCAUCUCGGAGGCCAGGGGUGACUGUGAUCAGGUCGACUCAGCGUGUGCAGAAUCGAAAUCUAAGACUACUAAAAAGACCCAUUUCAAAUCUAUCUUAGAGCCAACUACAAGCAAAAGUCUUCUUAGUAAGGUAAAAUCGGCGACGCUCGGGCGCUCACAUAAAGCUGAUGAUGGAUCAGCGAAAAGUUCCGAUGUGCACGAGUAUCACGAAAUAUCUGAUACUGAUACAGAAAGUAACGCGACCGAUAAUGCAAAAUCCGAAGUUCCACCGGAAAGUCCUGGUAUAUCGAAAGCUUAUAGUUUUAGUCAAAGCUUAAUAGCUGAAAUGGAAGUUAUGUUUCGUAACUUCGAUGAUCAGAAGCAACAAGGUCAACGUCACAUACGUCAAACGCGUGCUGAUUUUGACGUCGCCAAAAGAGCAAAUACAUUAAGCAAAGCGGAGAGAAAGAAAUCCGUCUACACAGGAACAAUGAAACCGAUGUCAGCGCACGACGAGAAGACACUCGCAACAGCUGUUGCUAUGGCAAAUGAAAUUACAAACAAAUCCAUGACAGACUUGGACGAAGCUAAAUUGCCUCCGACGCCGAGUGAAAAGUCCAAGUUUCUCUUCAAGUUGCCCCUAGUUGGCCAUAGCCAUCACGAAGUUGAAAAAGAGACCAGUGUGAAGCGAAACUUCAGCGAGGAGGCGAACAGUGUCCUGAACAUUCAGGAAUCGAUAACGGAAAUGUCUAAAAUAGCUUAUGCCAGUUUAGUGGAAGAGCCAACUCCACCUUUGGCAGUUGUCAACCACACAAACGCUAUAAAACCCAAGACUCCUCCACGCAAGAUAAACGACUGGGGCCACCCAAGCACAAUGGCAAAACCUUUUGCAUCUGGUUCGGGAAUAUGCCUACCUGCCGAAGAGACGGUGGAUGUCAAUAAUCAGCCAAUAAAUAUAGUACCCUUGCCGCCGCGUGGAACAAAACCAAAACUGGUUGAUAAGCCUCGGCAUGUGCGUAAACAUCCUCUUAUCCUAAACAGUGCUGACAUCCCACCACCUCCAAAAAAUGUCGGUACCCAAACUGCGCCAUUGCCUAUCAUUUACGUUAAUACCCAGGCUUUGGUACAUAAAAAAAUCAUUUAUAGGCCAACCUUACCUCCAAGGCCUCCCACCACCAACCCAUUCACAGACCCCUAUCCCCAAAUCGAAAUCUCCGAUCUAUCCUCGAAUCCUUUCAACUGCUACAUAGGCAACCUGGCCGCUGUAGCUGACCCUGGGGAAGACACAAUUUUCGAGGAAGUGCAUCUUACAGGUAGGGAUACGAUUGUCUACAAAAAUAACAGGAUCAUGUUUCAGUAGAAGAUUUAUUGCAGUUCGCGGAUCGGAAACCAUCAUCAAAACAACGUGGCGUGGAAUCUGAUGAAGUCCGAAUCAUGAGCAAAGUUUUAAAAGAGCAGGCUUCCCCGGAGGAAUGUCUUGAAGCGCUGGAGUUUACGGACUGGGAUAUCCACGUGGCCAUCAAACUGCUCCAAAUAAAAGGUUCGAUGGUUGGUGCUACGAAUGUCACGCUUAAAGAUUGUCAAGACGAGCUGAACAAGGCUGAGGGUGAUGUCGCUAAAGCUGCAGCAGCUCUUAUAUAAAAUAAACUUUAAGACUAUGAGUCAUA